UCCAGGUUUGUGCCAGGUCAGGAAGGGAAAAUUUGCACUGUUUGUGAUCUUGCUGUUAUUGGAGCAGAUGCAUCUGGUUUACUUUGUUCUCCCACCCAAAAUCGAUGAUCAAACUCCAGGAAUUAUAUCUUCUCCCAAUGACCUUACUUAUCUUUUGAAGAACAGGAGCUUUGUUGUUGAGUAUUCACGUCUUCACGUCUCCUUGUGGAAGGUAAAAGAAACUGGAGCAAAACAGCUAACAA
rnacentral:misc_RNA from 1 species